CGCAAGACGUAAGCGAUGGAUAACCCGUUUAGAUUCCUGUACCACGCAUUAUCAGAACUGUAGGGACGCAUGUGGAAAGCACGGGCCGGGAAUGGAAAGACCGGUACAAGCGGGGUAGGUGUACGAUAGGCAAAUCCGUCGUAUAAUCCGAAGACGUGAUGUGGAGCGAAAUAAAGUAGCAAAGCGUGUGAGCCAUGUGCCGAGAAAAGCUGCUAUUGUGUAAUGCGUGCCCGUACCGUAAACCGACACAGGUGGAUGAGGAGAGAAUCCUAAGGCCGACGGAAGAAGCAUUGUUAAGGAAUUCGGCAAAAUGACCCCGUAACUUCGGGAGAAGGGGUGCCUGCGAGAGCAGGCCGCAGAGAAUAGGCUCAAGCAACUGUUUAGCAAAAACACAGGUCUAUGCGAAACCGAAAGGUGAAGUAUAUGGGCUGACGCCUGCCCGGUGCUGGAAGGUUAAGAGGAGAGGUUAGCUUCGGCGAAGCUUUGAAUUUAAGCCCCAGUAAACGGCGGCCGUAACUAUAACGGUCCUAAGGUAGCGAAAUUCCUUGUCGGGUAAGUUCCGACCCGCACGAAAGGCGUAAUGAUUUGAGCGCUGUCUCGACAAUGCAUCCGGUGAAAUUGAAGUACCAGUGAAGAUGCUGGUUACCCGCGCCAGGACGGAAAGACCCCAUGGAGCUUUACUCCAGUUUGAUACUGGGAUUCGGUACUGCAUGUACAGGAUAGGUGGGAGACGAAGAAGGAUGGACGCCAGUCUGUCCGGAGUCGCUGUUGGGAUACCACCCCUGUAGUACUGGGUUUCUAACCAGUUGCCAUGAACUGGCAAUGGGACAAUGUCAGGCGGGGAGUUUGACUGGGGCGGUCGCCUCCGAAAGGGUAUCGGAGGCGCUCAAAGGUUCCCUCAGAAUGGUUGGAAACCAUUUGAAGAGUGCAAAGGCAGAAGGGAGCUUGACUGCGACACCGACGGGUGGAGCAGGUACGAAAGUAGGACUUAGUGAUCCGGUGGUAUAAAGUGGGAUUGCCAUCGCUCAACGGAUAAAAGCUACCCUGGGGAUAACAGGCUUAUCACUCCCAAGAGUUCACAUCGACGGAGUGGUUUGGCACCUCGAUGUCGGCUCAUCGCAUCCUGGGGCUGUAGCAGGUCCCAAGGGUUGGGCUGUUCGCCCAUUAAAGCGGUACGCGAGCUGGGUUCAGAACGUCGUGAGACAGUUCGGUCCCUAUCCGGCGCGGGCGGAGGAUAUUUGAGAGGAGCUGUCCUUAGUACGAGAGGACCGGGAUGGACGGACCACUGGUGUAUCUGUUGUCGACCAACGGCAUGGCAGAGUAGCCAAGUCUGGAAGGGAUAAACGCUGAAGGCAUCUAAGCGUGAAGCCCCCCUCAAGAUGAGAUAUCCCUCCUUCGGGAGUAAGACCCCUUGAAGACUACAAGGUAGAUAGGGCAGAGGUGGAAGCAUGGCAACAUGUGGAGCUGACUGUUACUAAUAGGUCGAGGGCUUAAUCU
rnacentral:rRNA from 1 species